rnacentral:rRNA from 1 species
UACGUAGGGUGCAAGCGUUAAUCGGAAUUACUGGGCGUAAAGGGCUCGUAGGCGGCCAACUAAGUCAGACGUGAAAUCCCCAGGCUCAACCUGGGAACUGCGUCUGAUACUGGAUGGCUUGAAUUCGGGAGAGGGAUGCAGAAUUCCAGGUGUAGCGGUGAAAUGCGUAGAUAUCUGGAGGAAUACCGGUGGCGAAGGCGGCAUCCUGGACCGACACUGACGCUGAGGUGCGAAAGCGUGGGGAGCAAACAGG